CUCAGAUUGAACGCUGGCGGCAGGCCUAACACAUGCAAGUCGAGCGGAUGAAGGGAGCUUGCUCCUUGAUUUAGCGGCGGACGGGUGAGUAAUGCCUAGGAAUCUGCCUGGUAGUGGGGGAUAACGUUCCGAAAGGAACGCUAAUACCGCAUACGUCCUACGGGAGAAAGCAGGGGACCUUCGGGCCUUGCGCUAUCAGAUGAGCCUAGGUCGGAUUAGCUAGUUGGUGAGGUAAUGGCUCACCAAGGCGACGAUCCGUAACUGGUCUGAGAGGAUGAUCAGUCACACUGGAACUGAGACACGGUCCAGACUCCUACGGGAGGCAGCAGUGGGGAAUAUUGGACAAUGGGCGAAAGCCUGAUCCAGCCAUGCCGCGUGUGUGAAGAAGGUCUUCGGAUUGUAAAGCACUUUAAGUUGGGAGGAAGGGCAUUAACCUAAUACGUUAGUGUUUUGACGUUACCGACAGAAUAAGCACCGGCUAACUUCGUGCCAGCAGCCGCGGUAAUACGAAGGGUGCAAGCGUUAAUCGGAAUUACUGGGCGUAAAGCGCGCGUAGGUGGUUCGUUAAGUUGGAUGUGAAAGCCCCGGGCUCAACCUGGGAACUGCAUCCAAAACUGGCGAGCUAGAGUACGGUAGAGGGUGGUGGAAUUUCCUGUGUAGCGGUGAAAUGCGUAGAUAUAGGAAGGAACACCAGUGGCGAAGGCGACCA
rnacentral:rRNA from 1 species